UGUCAAAUGCAUGUUAUCACUGCGGUACAAUAUUAGUGAGUUGUCCUGGCAGACGCAUUGGUAUUAUUCCAGUCUUAAAGGAAAUGGUGACUGAGCGAUUAACCUAACCUGUCAUUCUCUUUUCGAGCCAGGUCAACCACCAUUGCCCCCAGCACUACAUGACGCAUCUCUUAUCAUAAACACAUCUCUAUCAUAAAUACUUCUGCGCCGCACCUCAACUACUUUUGAAAGGUACGGAGGACACUUACUCAGCUCCUCUGCCAGCAGCACUCUCCGGCCCGUCAGCAGCUGCUCCUUCUUCUCCUGGUCACACCCAAACUCCUCCAGCACUUCCUUGAUCUCCUUCUCCAGGCGCCGUGCUGCAACAACAGAUGCAUAUAAUGAAUGAUCUGGUCCAUACCCACCUUCCCUGUUCAUGACCUGCUGACGGAGAGCAUUGGCCGUUAUCUUGAACAUCUGCUGGAUCCGCCAGAAGAGCACCACGUCAUUGCACUCCACCUGAGGGAGGCAGGCAGGUGGCUUGCUGUAUACUGAGAACUUCUGCAGAUUGGUCUGGGGUUACUGCUGCUGUCGCCAACACCACCAUUAAAUAGAUACAAAUAACCCCUUCUCUUACUGUCACCUGUGUGUUAGAUUUGUUGGCUGGCUGUGAUGCUGGUGACAAGCUGCAUUAUGUGAUAAGAGUUCGAAGGACUCCCCAAAUUUAAUAGUUUUUUUUUUUUAUGUGUGUGUUCUGGCAGGAGCUACUCUUUCUCCAGAGAGUCUUUGAAGUAAAUUUCAAGGAUCUUGUACUAAAAUUAAUUUAAUGAAAUGUAUCAAGUUAAAUAGAAUUAAUUUAUUGAAAUAAUACUAAAUUGAAUUAAUUUAAUGAAAUGAUACAUUUAAUUAAUUAAAUUAAUUCUAUUUAGUAUUUUGUAUCAAGUUAAAUUCUCUCUUCUCUUUUCCUCUCAGAGUAUAUAAAGUUACAUUUUUAUGUAUCACAUUAAAUUUUCUGUUCUCUUUUUCCUCUCAAUGUUUAAGUUAAAAUAAAAUGUAUCAAGUUAAAUUCUC